rnacentral:rRNA from 1 species
GCGUGAGUGAAGACGGCCUUCGGGUUGUAAAGCUCUUUCAGUAGUGAAGAUGAUGACGGUAACUACAGAAGAAGCCCCGGCUAACUUCGUGCCAGCAGCCGCGGUAAUACGAAGGGGGCUAGCGUUGUUCGGAUUUACUGGGCGUAAAGCGCAUGUAGGCUGUUUAUUUGGUCGGUGGUGAAAGCCUGGGGCUCAACCUCAGAAUUGCCAUCGAUACCGGUAAACUAGAGUAUAAGAGAGGAUAGCGGAAUUCCGAGUGUAGAGGUGAAAUUCAU